rnacentral:lncRNA from 1 species
UAGAAUUUAUAAUUUUAAAACUCUGAAAAUGUAUAAAAUUUAAGCCAUAGCUAUGACCUAAACUUUAUAAACCUACCACAAAGUUUAAAUUAUUAUACAGUUACUAACAAGUUUAUUGGAGUCUAAAAGAGUCUUUGUAACAUAUUGCUAAACAAAUCACUUAUUUAUUGAAAUAAGGGAAAAAUUGGAGUUAUCUCAAAAUUAGAGUUAUUUGGAAAAGCUUAAACAUUUAAUAGACAGAGCUAUGUUGUCACCAUUUUCAGUGCUAAAAUUGGUCACAAACUAUAAUUAUUUUUAUUUCAAUUACUCUCAAUACAAAUUAAGAAUCCUUAAUAAGAAUGUCAUUUAGAUUUAGGAAGAUUUAGUUUUUACAUAUUAAAUUAAGAAUUUGUGAAAUGAACUGUAACAACUAUCUAAUAGGAAAUAUAUUUCAGAAGUAUUGACUCUAAGCUAUGUUUAUAAUCAGCAUUUGGCAUUACAUUUAACCAAUAAUUACUGCAAGCAGAUAUGACACAUUUCAUAGAAUAAGUUAGUUGUACUUUUUUUCUAAACAUCAGGUUUUAGCAAAUAUAUUCAAUUUUCUGCUAGCUUCAGUAUACAUACAUUACCAAGGCUAAGAAAAUGGAGUUAAUUCUGAAUUUACAGUUAAUUUGGAUAGAAGUGAAUUUGAGAUUAGAGUUUACAAAUAUGAUUGCUACCUUUGAAAAGUGACUUAAUCUUAAAUAUAGUGUUUUUUCUUAGAAAAAUGCUAAUGAGGUUUACUUAUUUAUUUAUCACAACUUUAUUCCACAGAUGGUCUGAGAUGGUGUUAAUUACUGUACACAUUUUAAAUUCUCCAUUUGUAAAUCUGCAUUUGCAUUUUUGUAGUUUUUCCAAAAGUCUACUAAAUUAAGAUCAACCAUGGCAACACCCUAAAUAUCUUCAGAAAAGACAGCUACUAGCUUUCAUUCACCUGUUAAGGAGGUAACCACCAUUGUGAAGGUUUUCUUCCUAAUUUUUCUCAUUAAUCAGUUAUCUUACUAUUUACAGGGUCACUAAUCUACUCUUAUCUCAACUGUGACUUUGAAUAUGGUGAUGAAGAUAUGAACAGGGAUAUGCUACUAAAUCCAGAUUAAUGGGAGUGAACCAGAUGCUUUCGCAGAGGCAUUGAGGAAGAGAACAGGCUCUUCUACUGAGUUGCUAAGGAAAGAACAACUAAGAGGUGGAGUCUCUAGAUUUGCCCAUCUGCAUCUGUCUGAUCCACUCCACAGGAAGGCAAGAAAACAGGGGUCCCAGGAAUCUUCUGCCCUUCUGCCCAUGACUCUGCCUGCACCAGACGACACUUACUGGUGUUCACUCAAGCACAGUGUACGUAAACUUUUUGGUGUAAAGCAUGUGUAUUAGUCCGUUUCCAUACUGCUGAUAAAGACACACCUGAGACUGGGUAAUUUAUAAAGAAAA